AGUUACUUAUUGUUUAAAAAAAAUCUACAACUAAUAUUACAGGUAGUAAUUCAUAAACAAAAAUGUAUGUAUAUAAUUUAUUAUUAACAUAAUCAGGAAUAUGCGAAUGAAAUGAUUCGCAGGCAUUUGUUGUACGAUUUAGUUCAGCAACAUUUGCAGCCCAGAGUCCAGGUGGAAAUAAUGACCCUUCACUUAUAUAACUUUCCACUAAAUAAUCCGCAAAUUUUACAACUUUUUCACUUUCCGGUUGAAAUGGACAUAAUUCGAAAACAAAC